GGCCAGAUGCUAAACAAGCCACAUUUACGGUACUUGGAAGCAGAAUAUUAUUAUGUGUGUGUAGGAUUGCAGCCCAAAUCUCAAAUCAGUUACACCAGAUGGCUCUUUGACUCAAGUGGGGUUAAGGGCUGGGUGACACAAUUAGCAGUUCUGUGCUGCUUUAGAAUAUGGGGUUAGAGUGCAGGCUGCAGGUUUGAAUGCUGCACCAUAGGCAAAGAAACAACCUUUGUGUGUAGACAGUUCUUGUGUCAAGGAGAAGGUCCUUCUCCAACACAUGCAUUUCUCUGUGUGUGUGUGCAGCUAUCUUUCUCUAUUUUGAUAUGGGAUAAUAAUUCCCAUAUGUGAUCCCCAUCUUGCAAACUCAAGUAGUACAGUCCAGAAACACUUUUAGCAUAUGAACUUCUGUUUGUGUAGACUACCUUGAAGAUCCUGACAACACCAUCAUGUCAAAAGCAGUGAAAUGUAAUCUAGGAUCAUCUGGCACAGGGAAGCAGAAACCAGGGGCUGCAUCAAUCAUUUGUCUGUGUUUGUAUCCUUUAGGAGCUAAUUGGCCCCUUCCCUCCCCCUUUCAAUCCUUGGGGCAAUUAGCUGCCAAAAGAGAAAUAAGAUAAGCAGAGGUUAAUAGGGCAGAGAAAGGUGGCCAACACCACCUGCUUCCCUGUGCCAUUCCUUUUUAUGAUCCCAUCCAGCCUCUAAUGUUUGGCUAUCUCCCGGUUCAGAAGUCUCACAAUUCAGAGCUUGACUUAGUCAUGAUAACUUUGAUGUGAUGAGUGCAGUGUGUGGUCUGCCAGCCAGGCUAUAUUGCCUGUUCUUUAACAUCACCAGGAAAGGCUUUUGGUGCCCCUCCCCCCAAUCAAGGAUAUACUUGUUGGAGGGGGAUUUCCAGCCAGUGGCAGAGGACAGAGUAACUCCAAGAGACAUAGGUGUAAAAAACCCCAAACUAAAACGAAGACUUUAUUACUAAACAAAUAAACACAAACUCUGGUGGGUGUUAAUCCUGCAGGCAGGCUACAAAACUCAGCUUUUUUCUUUUAUAGCAAUGGUCAGCUGCAGCCAAUUAAUCCCAGAAACUUCUUAAAGGUAUACACACAUGUUUCUGUGCCGAAUGUCCCCCAACAAUACUGAGUGCAGGGACCUGCAGUAGAACCCUCUCACUGGCAGCUCCACAAGUCUGGCAUGACCUUUCCAUGGAGGUGUGUUUUCCUCCAUCACUGCUUUCAUAUUGGAGAUAGGUUGCAAUUCUUGCCUUCCCCCAGGCCUUUGAUGGAGAGCAAGUAUGAUACAGAUACAGGUAUUGUGGAAUUAUAUAAUUGUUGGAACUGCUGCUGGUCUGCUGAUACUGUUAUUGCAAGUUUAAUUUGUUGUUUUUGUUUCUAAAUGUUUUAUAUUAUGCAUUUACAAUGUUUCUAAUUUGUAAGCCACCCUGUGGAUGUUUGUUAAGGGUGAUAUAGAAAUUGCUUAACAAAUAAGUAAAAUAAAAUAAUGCUACCUUCAUUCCCAGCACUCCAGCUUAGAUGGAUUGUGGAUUGCUGUCUGAGAACAGAGUUUGACUCAUAGGUUUGUGCCCAGCACACUAUUAAUUUGCUCAAAGCCUAUCUUUAGAGAUCAAAAAAUAGCUAUGCCAGUCCAAGAAAUACACCAAAUAUCUUAUAUUUAUACUAGCAGGAUGCAAGGUUUCAAGUUGCUCAAUCUUCUGUUUAAUAUGGCCUCACCUGUUCAUUGUUUAUGCAACACUGUAUGAAAUAAUAAGACGAGUAAAGAAUGCCUGUGAGGUUUGAGUGUGCAUGUGGCAUUUGAUCUUCUUUGACUAUUGCAAUUGAAAUCAAGGAGCACAAGAAUUUGUAAAAGCAACUCUAAAGCCUGUAUGUGAGUUCUGUAUUGCCCCAUGCACAAUACAAUUAAUUAUUCCAGCUGUGCACAGUGUUGCAGCUAGAACCCUCUUCUUUCACAAAUUAAGCUAAGACAAAAGCACUAUCUUUGAAAAGAACACCUUUGGCAGUAUCCAAAACCAUACCUUGCUAUUGUUUUUGAAAGUUUUUCCUGUUCCUUUACAUUGAACAUCUUACUGAAAAUAAAGGCAGCAGGUGUGGGGUGGGGACCUUAAUAGGAGCCAACUAGUAUUAUUUAUCAAUUGCCUAGUAUUCAGGUUUCUCCCCCCUGCCUUUAUUUUCAGUAGAGAGGGGCUUUCUACAUCACUCAGUUACACAAAAGCCCUCAUGAUAAGGUUGUUAAACACCAGAAAGAGCUGAAGAAACACAUUGAAGAUAUUAUGGAGCACGUCAAUAGCUGUAGAGGACCAAAAUGAAUUGCUCUACAGUACAUUCCCGCCCCCCCUUCUCUCAGCAAUAUCCAAGAUUUCACUGUCUGCAAUAAUCUUCUCUGAAGAAUUAAAUGAAUUAAGAAGUGAAAGUGAUAAAGUCAUCCUAAGCAUGGGGCACCAGUGCCCUUUGUAAUUAUUUCACUUGUACAGAGGGAGAUGUUGGCUGUUUAUGCCAUUCUAUGGAAUAACAAAAUGACAUGCCAGUAUACAGGAGAUCUGAAACUUUCAAUUAGGUAAAAUGCAGUGAGUGGUGGUGAGAAGGGAGAGGAAUAUCAUGAUAUUACAGUUACAUAUAUGUUUUGCACAUGUAUUUUGAUGUGCAUAUUUUCUAGAAAUAUGAGUAAAGCUGCAGUCCAGUGCCUUUGUACUUGGGAGUUGGGCUGCCACAUUUUCAACUGGCCUCUGCAACUAUGACUUCAAUAUCAGCUUCAUCUACUGAAGCUUGCCAGUGAUGAGGUUUAUCUCCAUGCUGUCUUAAAAAAUUAAGCUAACUCCAUUCUGCAUAUUGAGCCUCUAUUAAAGGCAUAGUUACAGUGGACAGUAGAAAAGUUUGUCAUCUUACCUUGGAGUUAGUUCCACUUAAAUCAGUGCCAGAUAUUUCCAACUAAAUGUGGACAGGGUUAGAAUAAUUAGUAUGCCAGCUGUCUAACAAUUUUUUGAUAAGGUGAAGCUAUUAUCUUAUUAAAAGGAAAAUAACAGUAGUACCUAGGCUGCUGUGUGUUUCAAGAGAAAAGAGAACAGGAACAAUAGGCUCAUGUGAAUGGUUUUGAUCAUGUUAGUAAAGGUGAACAGUUUUGUAUCUGGAAGGAACAGAAGAGAACCUAAUGAUGUCCAUGCAAGCAUUAUAUACAGGACCCAAACUUCUACCUUUGCCUGCAAAUGGGAUCCUGUUUAUUGAUGACUUGGGGGGAUCUCUCACAUUAUAAAAUGUUGGUAUUUGAUCUUUAGUAUAUCACUGUCCUUGGGAAUGAAAACCAACCUAUUUGAAAUAAAGAUAUGAGGCUUAUGUGCUAUAUAAAUAUUAGAUUAUGGUGAUUAUAAUGCUGAUGAAUUGACCUCAGUUAUUGCUGUCUAAAACCAGCUCUGUAUGGUUUGAAAUGGUUGAAAUGAACUUAAGGUCUGAGCUACAUUUUCAGAAAAAAGCAAGUUGUAUAGUUCUGCAACUGUACUAUUUAAAUGGUGAAGGGAGGUGCCUUUUGUGUGUGGUGGUGGGGUGAGCAUUUAAGCAUGAUUCCCACCCCAUGGCCUGAAGUAGUAUAAUUAAGCAAAAGCACCAUUAUCUGACUCUUCUGAUUAUGUAGUUCAGGGGUUUUGCAUAGAUUUAAAUAUUCUCAUUUACCUUUUAAUAUUCUAUGGAUUCAUAUUAACACACAUACUUAAUUCCUCUACUACCUUAAUCUCAACAUCCACAGGCCAGCUCAGACUGAAUGUUCUUAUAUCAUUUGGAGAUUGUUCACACAUUUGGCUGAUCGGACAUCAUGAUGAACUUCCAUAAUGAUGAACUUUAGAGUAGAACUACAGAACCAGAAGAGACCUGAAAGUCAUUUAGUCCAGUCUGUUGUCAAUGAAGUAUCUGGAACAGACUAGAAGCUGCUCUGGUAAUUGCUACCACUUCCCCUGUGGCCUUAAAAUGUGAGGAAAACAGGAUAGGCUCAUCUUCACAAUGGUAUUGUCCACAUUUCUCCAGGGUGCCUCUCUUUCAUUUAACUCCAUCUUCUUUCCUUCCUGGGGAGUAUAGUUUUCCCUGUUGAAGUGGGAGGGGAACUAGGAGUAGCAGUGAGGGUAGAAAGAGACCCUUUCCCAUGUUGCCAGAACUGCAGCUACUAGAAUAUGGUCAGUAAAUAUGGGCUAGAGGGUGGCAAAUCCAUCUCCUUCCACCCAUCCCUGCCCCCAUCUUGAAUUGUAAUUUGAAAGAGGGAGGAUUGGGUUUGGUUUGGAACACAGGUAUGCAUUAUUAGCUUGUCAAAUUUGGAUUCUGAACCAGGUAAUUAAAAGGCUUGGCAAUUUCACUAAUAGAGUUAAGUAGAUCCACUGAUCUCUUUCAGUGGAGAAACAGUCUAAUGAGUUUCAUUAAAGAGAACAAGCAAGCAGGGUUUUUACUGCUAUCAGAUAUAUGGCAGGAAGAUCAAUGUUAAGGCUUGUGCGACAAUUCUGCAUCUGAAAUAAUAGUCAAUACUAACAUGAAACCAUCUAGAUACACAAAAGCACAAAUGUUUAACUCUCUGCUCAGGCACAAACUAUAGCAUCUGCCUGCUUUGAUGUUGAUAAAAGCUACUUGUGAUUGCUAACUGUAUUAAUCUUAAAUGCUGAUAUCUGAUCUUAAAUCUAAUGAAAUAAAUAGCCAUGGCAAAAUGUGAACUAUUCUUAGCCUAGAUGAUACCAUUACGAUCUGCUAGAUUUUGCAUGCUUAAAAAUGUUUUUGUUUUGUAUCUUUUUUAUAUUUUUUUAUUAAGGCACACAAAUUGGUCUUUGCAUAUUCCCUUCUUUUUUAGAUCAUUUAAGCGCCAAGAUCAUUAACAGGCUGCACUCUACUUCCUUUUAGAAGCAAUGCUGCCACUUCUCCCAAUCAUUCUCAUAAGUAGUCAGAGUAAAUAAGGCACUGGAAUAAGUGAAGUAAAUACUUUACACAUAAUUUACAUAAUAUGCAUCAUUUGCAUCUCUUAAACAAUUGAUGGCAUAGACAUAUGUGAGCUGACAUUGAAGAUUUGGCAAAAUAAUUUCAAGUAUUAUCAUGUUCCUCUGUGGCAUGGAUCCUACAGCCUAGAUGCACAUUGGUGCAUGACUGGUAUCUAACUGUGGGAAUGUUGUGGGUAACAGGAGAGGAUAUAUUGAUUAAUAUUAUCCUUCCUAACUCACAUUAGCAAGUUUCUUCAUACAGCAGAGUGCAUUCCCCUAUUACACAGCAGGAAGCUGGUUGCAAACUCGUGUGAGUCUCUUAAGACAAUAAGCAAUUCAAUCUGGCUUGCCCAGAUUGAGAUAUGUUCUAUUAUUCCUGGUAAGACCCCUUUGAUCCCUCCUAAAAAAAUAAAGACACAACGGUCUUAUUCAUAAGUAACAAAAAGUAGUUCUACUCACGAUCAGGCAGAGCACAGUGUGAUCCCCGAAGGCUUUAGGCUUAAAGUUACGAAUAUGUACAAACAGGUUUACCCCAUAUGGAAUAUGUACAAACAGGUUUACCCCAUAUGGGAGAUAACCUAGGGACUGCUGGCCAGCAUUGCAGUCUAGGUGAAGCAGGAAGCAGGCAGGGCAAAAAAGAAGGGAGUUGGCUACUUGACUUGGCCUUUCACCAGUUCUGGAAAGGUCACACCCACCUACUAGUCACAUGCAAAGGAAAGGAUGCUCCAGACCAAGUGUAACAGGAAGUUCAACUGGUUGGCCAACAUUCCCCUGCAUAUCCACUCUAGGCAAACAGGAAGUGUUGUACCUGACUGCUCCAGUGGAUUACUUCCCACACUAACUGGCCGCCUACUGAUUGCAUAGGUAAGUUUCUAAAUCUAAAGCAAUUGACAGUGCUCCAGGAUUUCAGAUGGGGAAUUCUCAACACUACCAGAAGGGUGAGGAACCUGUGGCCACUCAUAUAUUGUUUGACUCCAACUCCCAUCAGUUCCUGCCAGAACAACCAAUGUUUAGUGAUGGUGGGAAGUCCAGCAACACAGGGUCAGCCCUACCAUGAGACAGAGCGAGGCAACUGCCUCAGGUGGCAAAUGCUGUGGGGCAGUGAGGACAGCUCCCUAUUCAAAAGAUUGAAUGACCCGGGCCUUUCUAGACCUCUGAGAGGACCUGACUGUGAACACCAAUUGCCGUGUAUUCUCCUUGAUUGAAUUUGUAACUUGUAAAAUGAACUGUAACAUGUAAACAACUUCCAAAGCUUUGGAUAUUUUAUUGUAAAUCAUUCAGAGAUCAAUUGCUGAGUGGGAGGCAGGUGAUAUUAUCACAGGUGAAUAUUAAACUACUUUGUCAAGGUGUUUUACAGUUUAUCAAUUGUUUCCUGUGAGUGUAUGUGUGAGUGUGCUCUGUGUGUAUAUAUUUAUGCAUGAGGAAUUUCUGGCCUUGUAAAACAAAUCAUUUUGCUUGUACUUAGAUAAGCAUUCACAGCCAUGCAUUGAAAUCUGAGAGCAACCUGAUCUUACAUAAAGAUUAGAUUAUUCUUAGUAAACUGAUAGCAUCUGGGAUUAGAAGUGCUUUUUCAUUCAUAGGAAACUGUAGAAGAAAUACCCCCUCAUCAUCAGCGAAGAUGGCUGCUGUGAGUCUCUUUGAUAUAUUGCCAAGCUGAACUAUUAAAUAAAUCCAUCAGAAAUGAAUCUAACAAAACGAUGUGUGGCAAAUGUUUCCAGCAGGGAAGAGGACCCGCAAGGGAAUGGGUUUUUUUUUCUAACAGGAGCACAUGAGGUUUUUAUAGGCUGCAGGACUUAGGAUCCGAACUGUAACCAUAUUUGGUUAUUAAAACAUGCACACAAAUAGAACAACUGAACAGAUGGAUGAAAUAUCAUAAGUGGCUUUAAGGCUGAUGGCUGUUGAAAAUCAGUAGGCAUACUUUGCAGCCUUUAUUGCAUAUAUUGUUUAGGCCUAAGAGACUGCCUGAGGAAAAAAUACUAAGCACAUGGAGGAUUUUUAUGCCUUUGUAUGUAGGUUUCACUCUCUGCCUUUCAAAUUCCAUGAAGGAUAAAGUUAUCAACAGCUACUAGCCAUGAUAUCUGUUCUACUGCAACUGUUGGAGGCAGUAUGUCUCUGCAUACCAGUUGCUGGGAAUUACAAGUGGGGAGAGUGCUGUUUUAUGUACCCGAUUGGCCACUGUGAGAACAGGAUGUUGGACAAGAUGGCUUGAUCCAGUAGGGUUCUUCUUAUGUGGAAUAUGGGGAAGUGGAAUCUGUCAUACCAUGCAGGUUAUGUUCCCCGUUUCUAACUUUUGGGUGGCUUUAAAAGAAAAUUGGACAAUCUCAUGGAAUAUAAAAGCUAUCAACAGUGCCGGAUAAGCUAAACAAGCUAUAGCUUAGGGCCCCACUCUCUUGGGGGCCCCAAUUUUUUCCCACUAUUAAUAUACUUCUUCUUAAUUGUAUUUCAGUUCAAUAAUUACUUUGAUAAAAUACAUAUUUUGUUAUGUGCAAAUGGCUUUAGAUACCUAUUAGGUCCAUAAAUUACCAUAUAGCAUAUAUUCAACACAAAAAACAGCGACAAUUUGUGGUUGACAAAGGACAGCUGGACAUAUAAAGGGCUCCAUUAUCUUCAGUAGCUUAGGGCCUCAUCAAACCUAAAUCCAGCCCUGGCUAUCAAUGGCUACUAGCCCCCGAUGGCUGUGCUCUGCCUUCACAGUCCAAGGCAGUGAUGCUUCUGAAUGCCAGUUGCUGGAAACUGCAGCAGGUGAGUGCUCUGGUGCUUGGGGCCUGCUUGAGGGUUUAUCAUCUGGUUGGCCAUUGCAGGAACAGGAUGCUGGACUAGAUGGGCCAUUGGCUUGAUCCAGCAGGCUCUUACGUUCUUAAGUUUACUGAGGUAUUAAUGCUCUCCUUUUAAGAACCCCAUCUGAGGCAAAGGAAUAAGAGGUCCAUGGCUUCUGUUUCCCAGUUUAUUGAUGACCAGCCCUCUUUCUUCGCUGCUGGGUGGCAAACCUGGUGUCCUGCUCUCUACAGCAGGUAAAAAUGAUCAAGAGAGCUAGAAAGAAAAAGUGAUGGAAAAGCUAUGGCUGCUGCAUCUCUUACUUUGGUAUACAGUAAUGCUAAUCUCUGGGUUGCCAUCUGGCAACCCUGAGAAGAAGGGAGCAAAGGCCAUAUUAAAAACUUACCUUGAGUUGAAGGCUCCCGGUUUGUAUAUUUGAAGAAAACAAAGUACACUCAUGAAGAAGGGAGUGUUCAUGACAAUUUUUUUCUCACUUGUUGAAGCCAGCUAGACCCUUUUACCUAGCGAGAAUAAGAACACUGGAACAAUACUUUU